GCUUGCCUCCCACAGCAAGUGCCCUGACCUGGGCUGGGAUUGAACCUGCAACCCAGGUAAGUGCCCUUGACAGAAUCAAACUCUGGACCCUUUGGUUAGCGGGCCAACACUCUAACCACUUAGCAACACCAGCCAAGACCCAGUUAGCAACUUAUGAUCAGACCACCCAGUGAGGUCACUUUCGAUAGAAUCCCCCCACCCUUUUUUUUUGCCCACAAAUUUCACUCCUCUAGGGACCUCAUAAAAGUGGAAUCCUGCAGUAUUUGCCUUUUUGUGUGUAGCUUAUUUCACUGAGCAUAAUGUCCUCAGGGUUUAUCCAUGUUGUAGCAGGUAUCAGGAUGGCCUUCCUUUUUAGGCUGAAUAGUAUUCCAUUGUAUGGAUAGAGCACAUUGUGUUUUUCCUUCAUCUGUCCAUGGACACUGGGGUUGCUUCCACCUUUUGCUACUGUGAAUCACGCUGCUAGGAAUGACAUGCAAAUACCUGUGUGAAUCCCUGCUUUCAAUUCUUUUGGGUGGAAUUGCUGGAGCAUAUGGUAAUUCUUUGUUUAAUAUUUUUGAGGAACUGUUAAUCUAAAUAAAUUAUGCAAUAAAAGAAUAUAGUCCCACAAAAAAUUAAACAAUUACCAUGUGAUUCAGGAGGUGGGCAUAAUUUACCAGCCUCAAUUUAUAGACAGGGAACAGAAGUCAUUGAUGGGAAAAAUAAAUAAAUGGGUAUUUUUAAAAAAGUGACUCUCUCAGGGUCCCGCAGUUAAUAAGUAAGCAGGUUUCCACACCAGGGCUAUAUAGUAACCACUUAGCUAGAAGACUUCUCCAAAUGUUUAUUAAGUGCUUACUAUGUGCCAGGAAGCC